rnacentral:rRNA from 1 species
AUUCCCCUAGUAACUGCGAGUGAAGCGGGAAAAGCUCAAAUUUAAAAUCUGGUGGCCUCUGGUCGCUCGAGUUGUAAUUUAGAGAAGCGUCUUCCGCGCUGGACCGUGCACAAGUCUCCUGGAAUGGAGCGUCAUAGAGGGUGAGAAUCCCGUCUUUGGCACGGACGCACCAGGGCUUUUGUGAUGCGCUCUCGAAGAGUCGAGUUGUUUGGGAAUGCAGCUCAAAAUGGGUGGUGAACUCCAUCUAAAGCUAAAUAUUGGCGAGAGACCGAUAGCGAACAAGUACCGUGAGGGAAAGAUGAAAAGCACUUUGGAAAGAGAGUGAAACAGUACGUGAAAUUGUUGAAAGGGAAACGCUUAAAGUCAGUCGCGUCGACCAAGACUCAACCUCGCCUUGGCUUGGUGUACUUCUCGGCCGACGGGUCAGCAUCAAUUUUUCCCUUCGGAUAAUGGCAAGGGAAAGGUAGCACCUUUACGGGUGUGUUAUAGUCUCCUGUCGCAUGCGAGGGGUAGGAUUGAGGAACUCAGCACGCACCUCUUGGUGUCGGGGCCUUGUUGCCCACGCUACGUGCUUAGGAUGCUGGCGUAAUGGCUUUAAACGACCCGUCUUGAAACACGGACCAAGGAGUCUAACAUGCCCGCGAGUGUUCGGGUGGAAAACCCGUGCGCGUAAUGAAAGUGAAAGUUGGGACCUCUGUCGUGGAGGGCACCGACGCCCGGACCAGACCUUCUGUGACGGAUCUGCGGUAGAGCGUGCAUGUUGGGACCCGAAAGAUGGUGAACUAUGCCUGAAUAGGGUGAAGCCAGAGGAAACUCUGGUGGAGGCUCGUAGCGAUUCUGACGUGCAAAUCGAUCGUCAAAUUUGGGUAUA